rnacentral:rRNA from 1 species
AUUCCAAAGUUGUUGCAGUUAAAAAGCUCGUAGUUGAAUUUCUGGUCGUGGCGACGGGUCCGCCCCUCACGGGGUGUGCACCUGGUCUCUGCGUCCAUCCUCGGGGAGAGCGCGUCUGGCAUUCAGUUGUCGGGCGCGGGAUCCUCGUCAUUUACUGUGAGCAAAAUAGAGUGUUCAAAGCAGGCUUAGGCCGUUGAAUACAUUAGCAUGGAAUAAUAAGAUAGGACCUUGGUCUAUUUUGUUGGUUUGCAUUCCAAGGUAAUGAUUAAUAGGGAUAGUUGGGGGUAUUCGUAUUCAAUUGUCAGAGGUGAAAUUCUUGGAUUUAUGGAAGACGAACUACUGCGAAAGCAUUUACCAAGGAUGUUUUCAUCG